AUCUCAUCUGAGGGAUGAGGAACAGAGAGAUAAAAAGGAGCAUAAACAGAAGUUAAAACCUACUGAACAUAAAACCCUGGAGAAUCUGGAUUUCAGACACCAUGAGAGACACGAUUUCUUUGUCAGAGGGGGCACUGCAACACUAAGAGUAUGUCUAUACUACCUGCUGGAUUGGCAGGCAGUAAUCGAUCGGUGAAUCGAUGCCUCUACUCCACCUCGGCAGGAGGAGUAAGCAGCGUCGACAGGGGAGCCGCGGCAGUCAACUUGCCGCCAUAAGGACGGCCAGAAGGGAAAACCUAUAAUGGCAGCAGGCUGUAAAAGAGACCCAGUUUGAGAAUAUUUUAAUGAAGUUCCUCUACCUGUGGGGAAGACAGGCACGUGAGCAAAAUGCAAACAGUGCAACAAAGAAAUGCAAGGCCUGGUUGCCUAAAUGAAACAUCGUGAGAAGUGUUCCUUCUCAGGAGGAAGCUGCCCUGAAGAUGAAAGGAACAUGUCUGAACAUGCAGGAUCUUCAGGUUGGAGCAUCCAUCCUCAACAUACAGGAUUCUGAAGACUAACCAGCUUUAAGAUCACCAUCAUUUUCUAUAGUUUCAGAGUUAUCUGCCAACGAUAGCGUUUCAGUCACAUCAUGUUGGUAACAUAGCCACAGUAUAUCACCUGCAGCCCAAAACAAAACCAAAAAACCCUACAUCAUCCAGAAACAACCAUAGAUAAGUUUGUGAUAAGAACUAGCAGAUUACAAAAAGAGGUAACUGAUGAAAAAAUUGCCCGGUUUGUUUAUGCAACAAACUCCUUGCCAUAUGAUUGGGAACCCACACUUUAUUAACAUGAUUCAGUCAUUAAGACCAGGAUACAGUCCACCCAACAGAGCAGAUGUCGCAGGAAAAUUGCUGGAUGAAGAGUAGGAAAGAGAAAUUGAGCAGUGUGCAAAAGGUCUAGAAUGUAAAAUUGUUAACCUGAGUCUUGAUGGGUGGAGCAAUGUCCACAAUGAUCCUGUUGUAUGUGCUUGUGGGACAACAGAAGAAGGUAAUGUCUUCCUUACAGAAACAAUUGAUAUCAGGAAAUGCACACAGCAGAAUACUUACAAGAAGCAGCAGUAAAAGCUAUAACAAACUGAAUAAAAAACUCUGUCUAGUAUGCAGCUUGGUCACAGACAAAGCUGCAAAUGUAUCCAAGAUGAGAAGAAAUUUAGAAGAGUCCCAAGCUAAUAACAUAUCGUUGCAGUGCUCAUUUGAUACACUUCCUAGCCAAGGACUUCAGUGUUCCAGAAAUAAAGGCCAAUGUUGCUGAAACUGCAAAAUAGUUCCAGAACCACCACUUUGCAGCAGCUACUCUGAAAAAAGUGGGAGGAACCAAGCUAACUUUCCCACGAGAUGUGGGAUGGAACUCAGUAGUGGACUGUUUUGAGCACUAUAUCAAGGACUGGCCUAAUCUGAUGACAGUUUGUGAACAAAAUAGUGAAAAAAAUAGAUAGCACUGUCACAGCCACUGUUCGUAACAUUGGGCUUAAGAGAAAUGUUGAACACAUGCUGAGUACCCUGAAGCCUAUUUCUGUAGCCUUGAACAAAGUGCAGGGAAAUAGCUGUUUUAUUGCUAACGCUGUUGAAAUUUGGAAGGAACUGAGUGACCUCUUAAAGAGAAAUAUGCAGAGUUAAAUUACAAACAUUAAAAAAAAACGAAUGGGAUAAGAACUAUCUCCAGUUUACUUUCUUGCAAAUAUUCUCAAUACUCGAUACCAGGGUCAAACCUUAACUGCUGAAGAAGAGGCGUUGGCUUUGACAGAGACAUAGCAAUCAUCCCUUCAUUAUGCCAACUAUAAUAAACUUUAGAGCUAAGGGUGAACCAUUUAAGAAAUAUGUUUGCUGAUGACGUUUUAAACAAAGUCACACCAGUGGACUGGUGGAAGUCACUUAAACACUUGGAUUCAGAGACUGUUGAAGUGAUAAUCUCACUUUUAACAGCAGUAACUUCUUCUGCCAGUACAGAAAGAAUAUUUUCUUCCUUUGGACUAAUUCAUUCCAAACUGGGAAAUCAUUUGGGACCUGAAAAAGCAGGAAAGCUUGUUUUUCUUUUCCAGAUUAUGAACAAACAUGAAAAUGAAGGUGAAGACGACUGAGUUAGUUGCAAAAGCCAAUAUUUUAAGUUUCUCAUGUUGACCUGGCUGACAGUUGAUUUUUUUUUUUAAAUUUCAUUUAACUAUUUUAGUUAAAAACAAUUUUAACAAAAACAAACCUGAUUUUAAAAACUUGAAUGUUUAACUAAAUUCAAAAAUUCAUAGCUUGUUUUAUUAAAAUAUUAUAUGUUUGCUGUUGAAAAAAAUCCAGAAUACGUAACAGCGUUGCUUUAGUUAAAUAACACAAUUUAAAUAUCUGUCUGGUGAUGUUCUCCUCCCAGUACAGCAUGGCAAGAAAAUCCUCCAAAUAUUAAUGAUUAACUUGUUGAAUUGGAGAUAGUUCACCUCCCAAUGACUUCAUAAAGAUCUGCUUCAAUUACCUUUGGUAAAUUAAAUAACCAGUCAUUCAUUUUCUGACAUAGC